GGAUGUGUGGGCGACCUGGCUUUGAAGACGUCUGUCACCGCACAGAUCACCAGGGUUGAUUGGCCUGAUCUGGCUGGCUAGGCGGCUGUCCCUUUUCACCAUCAUGGCUCCACGUGUGUCCCUCCCAAAGCUGCACACACGCCUGCAAGAGGACAACCCUCGCUGGUGGCGGGGUCGCAUCUCCUCAGCCCAAGGUACACAAGCAGCUGCCCUCUGCUGGAACCUCCAAACAAGUUUUCCAAAUAAAAACCAAAAAAGGGCCGGGGGCGGGGGUGUAGCUCGGUGCGAAGACCCUGGCUUCAAUCCCCAAUGCCACCAAAAUUUUUUUAAUUUCAAAAAAAUGUAAUU
ensembl:misc_RNA 7SK 7SK RNA